rnacentral:rRNA from 1 species
UGGGGAAUUUUGGACAAUGGGCGAAAGCCUGAUCCAGCCAUGCCGCGUGAGUGAAGAAGGCCUUCGGGUUGUAAAGCUCUUUUAGUCGGAAAGAAAGAGUUGCAAUGAAUAAUUGUGAUUUAUGACGGUACCGACAGAAAAAGCACCGGCCAACUCCGUGCCAGCAGCCGCGGUAAUACGGAGGGUGCGAGCGUUAUCCGGAUUUACUGGGUUUAAAGGGUGCGUAGGUGGGCUUAUAAGUCAGUGGUGAAAUCUCCGAGCUUAACUUGGAAACUGCCGUUGAUACUAUAGGUCUUGAAUUAUCUGGAGGUAAGCGGAAUAUGUCAUGUAGCGGUGAAAUGCUUAGAUAUGACAUAGAACACCAAUUGCGAAGGCAGCUUACUACAUAUAAAUUGACGCUGAGGCACGAAAGCGUGGGGAUCAAACA